rnacentral:tRNA from 1 species
GUGGUGGCUCAGUGGUAGCAUGCUCGCCUAGCAAGCGCGAGGCCCUGGGUUCGAUCCUCAGCACCACA